rfam:Homo sapiens chromosome 12, GRCh38 reference primary assembly.
GCCAGGCACAGUGGCACAUGCCUGUAGACCUAGCUACUCAGGAGGCUAAGACAGGAGGAUCACUUGAGUCCAGAAGUUCUGGGUUGUAGUGAGCUAUGUCAAUCAGGUGUUUGCACUAAGUUCAGCAUAAAUGUAGUGACCUCCUGGGUCACUGGGACCCAGAGUUGCCUAAGGAGCGUCAGAAGUGGAGCAGGUCAAAACUCCUGUGCUGAUCAGUAGUGGGAUCACACCUGUGAAUAGCCACUGCACUGCAGCCUGGGCAACAUAGUGAGAUCCUCAUCUCCU